rnacentral:lncRNA from 12 species
AGAGGGGAAAAAAGGCACAUUUAAGAAACAUUAAAUCUACAGGAUCACGAUAGUAUAAGAACUGCUUAUAAGAAAAGGUUGCCGCUUUCUCAGCAUUCUGCCCCCAUCAAUAAAUAACUUAAUAAUCACUGCAUUUGGGGAAGUCUCUGAGCUCUGUGCUGGGACCUAAUUAACGCAUCUGAAGUCCAGGCAGGCACAGUCCCUGGGCUCUGCAACUAACCCUAGCGAAGGCACAUAUUUCUCCAUAUGCGCAUAACGCAAAUAGGUGCACGCGAUAGACGAACCACCGCGUGUUCACGGGUACAUUUUCCCAAGGAGACCCCAGGCGAACUCCGGAAUUGGGCACACACAACAGUUAUUUAUUGACAAGAAGCCAUGUGUCAAUAACCAGGGAUCAUGGGACAGUGGGUCUGAAGACCUGGAACAGCGCUGGGAGCUGCUGGGGCGCUCUGGGGACCAGGACAUCGUGCACUGCCACUGGUACCCAUGCACAUGGGCUUCAGUCCUAGGGUUCUGGGUUAUGUCUGUCUCAGCGGUACAUAGCCGGAGAGAUGGCACUAAUGACAACUGAAAGAAAAUAGGGUCCCUUUCAGGCAGCACAAAUAAGACAGAUGUAAAAGAAGGUACAUUCCUUAAUUUGAAGAUUGCAGCAUCUUCUUUCCUCAGGAGUGGGAUGCCUCUUGACUAUGAAAACAUCCGGGAGAAAAUGUUCAAGAUUUAAAGUUAAACCACCCAGAAAAUGAUGAGACUUAUACUAUUGUUCCACAUCUUUUGUGACACUGCAUUGUGAAUAGUCACUUUCAACAGGGUAAUUGUGAGAAAAGGCAAAUUUCUAACUCUGCUCACACUUUCAGGGUGUGAAGUUACUUUAUUCUUCAGUUCAACUCAUGUCAUGUAUUCCAAACCCAAGCUACCUGCUGGUACUUUUGCACAUUUCAAAAAUUUUGAGGUUCUCCAAAAAUGACUGAUUGUCAAUAUAUUUCUGAACAGGACAUUAAAAAUGUAUGAAUUUUGCAAAUAUACAGGAAGUGUUACUCUGAAUAUACAUUUAGCCACAGUAUUCAAUAAUUCUGAUUCUAGUGGUUCUGCAUGAAAUAUAAAUUAAAUGCUCAUUUUCUGAUUCUAAACUGGUUAACUUGAACACAUACAUUUCAUCAUUUUCUAAUUUUUCAAAAGACCCGUCCCUGAGAUAAGUCUGCUGACAGUCAAAAUCAUUACAUUAAAAACAAUCAAAAUCAACUAAAUAUAAUCUUCAUCUUUUAGGUGUUAGAAUUCUAGGCUUAGAUAUACCAGUUGCAGCUACUUUUCUCUCAGGAUUAAACAACAUAAGGCAAAUGAAAUAGUUCAAAUAACUAGUGAAUUUAAAGUUUUCCAUAUUAUGAAACAAGAUCAUUCAGAAAUAUUUGCAACAAAAUAAAAUGCAGAUAAGUCAGAGAUUACUUUUGGAU